CUGGUCUCUACUAAAAAUACAAAAACCAGCCGGGCCGGGUGCGAUGGCUCACGCCUGUAAUCCCAGCAAUUUGGGAGGCCCAGGCAGGCGGCUCAAACUCCUGGACUCAAGUGAUCCACCCACCUCAGCCUCCCAAACACUGGGAUUACAGGCAUGAGCCACUGCACCUGUCCUAAAUUAAAAUUCUUAACCCAGAAUCAGAGUUUUGGUGUUUGGGUUGGAACUUCUGCCACAGGGGUUACAGACAUGUCAGAAAGG
rnacentral:lncRNA from 1 species